AUUGAAGAUCUUUUGUUUCACUGAUAUGGCGUUCUGGACUUCCUUGGAAUGCAGAAGCCCAUAAAGAAAGAAUAUCAAAAACUUGAUCCUCAAGUUCCUCUUUUGGCAUGCACGCAAGCAAUGAGGACAACAGCAUCCAGCCAGCCUCCUUUUCAACAGCUGCUGCCAUAGGAUUCCGACUUGAUUCCAUUAUCAUUUUCUUAGACAGUUCAAGUACUGAUCUGGGCAACCGAGAUGGAUAACCAAGAGGCAAGCUUGGAGAAAUAGACACCAAAGCUGCCAAAACUGCAGCCUGACCAUCUAGACACUCCAGCUCAUACUUUAGAUUAGCUCCCUUUUCAAAUGAAAUAUUAUCUCUAACUG
rnacentral:misc_RNA from 1 species